UACGAAGGGGGCUAGCGUUAUUCGGAUUCACUGGGCGUAAAGGGUGCGCAGGCGGCCGUGUGUGUGAGGCGUGAAAAGCCCCUGGGGCUUAACCUGGGAACUGCAUCCGAAACUGCCUUUCUGGAGUGAUGGAGAGGAGAGCGGAAUUCCCGGUGUAGAGGUGAAAUUCGUAGAUAUCGGGAGGAACACCAGUGGCGAAGGCGGCUCUCUGGCCAUCAACUGACGCUGAGACGCGAAAAGCGUGGGGAGCAAACAGGG
rnacentral:rRNA from 1 species